GGUCACGGCCACACCACCCUGAGCACGCCCAGCUCGUGUGAUCUCAGAAGCUAAGCAGGGCCGGCCAGUCAGGACGUGGAUGGGAGCAAUGAUUC
rnacentral:rRNA from 1 species